GAACGGAAAGGCCUUUUCGGAGGUACUCGAGUGGCGAACGGGUGAGUAACACGUGGGUGAUCUGCCCUGCACUCUGGGAUAAGCCUGGGAAACUGGGUCUAAUACCGGAUAGGACCGCACUUUAGUGUGUGUGGUGGAAAGUUUUUUCGGUGUAGGAUGAGCUCGCGGCCUAUCAGCUUGUUGGUGGGGUAAUGGCCUACCAAGGCGGCGACGGGUAGCCGGCCUGAGAGGGUGUACGGCCACAUUGGGACUGAGAUACGGCCCAGACUCCUACGGGAGGCAGCAGUGGGGAAUAUUGCACAAUGGGCGCAAGCCUGAUGCAGCGACGCCGCGUGGGGGACGAAGGCCUUCGGGUUGUAAACUCCUUUCGCUAGGGACGAAGCUUUUUGUGACGGUACCUAGAUAAGAAGCACCGGCUAACUACGUGCCAGCAGCCGCGGUAAUACGUAGGGUGCGAGCGUUGUCCGGAAUUACUGGGCGUAAAGGGCUCGUAGGUGGUUUGUCGCGUCGUCUGUGAAAUUCUGGGGCUUAACUCCGGGCGUGCAGGCGAUACGGGCAUAACUUGAGUGCUGUAGGGGUAACUGGAAUUCCUGGUGUAGCGGUGAAAUGCGCAGAUAUCAGGAGGAACACCGAUGGCGAAGGCAGGUUACUGGGCAGUUACUGACGCUGAGGAGCGAAAGCA
rnacentral:rRNA from 1 species